rnacentral:lncRNA from 1 species
UCCAGCUUAAUCCUCUCAAUGCCUGCAAGAGGAAGAAUUUAUUAUCUGCCUUUGACAGGUGAUGAGACAGAGCCUCGGAGAGACUGAGUGAUUUGCCCAAGACCACACAGCUCAUAAGCAACAGAGCUCAGUCCCAGGGCUGCUGCUGUUUGCCAUGUUCACAUCGCCCCCAACGAUAGAUACAGAUCUGGCUUCACCCACAGGGCCGGUGCCCACCUGCCCGCUUGCAUAGAAGGGAUGAGAAAGGCCUCUGCUCUGACAUCCCUGUGGCAGAGAAGCCACGAGGGUUUGGAGGUCUUUGUGGCAGACAGAGGGUUGAGACCUAAUGCCACAAAUUCCUGUGUGACUUUAAUCACAUCACUUAUCUUCUCUGUGCCUUUUAUCCUCAUUGGAAAAUAGUCACUCAGCCAUGUGGCACAAUCGUAAGAGCUAAAUGAUGUGACAUGCACUAAAGAACGGCCGUUACCCCAGGGUGUCUGACACCCAGCAGAUGCUCAACUGCUCCCCAUUCUUGUGCCUUAAACAAGACGACCCUCACUAACUUCCGCCUCUUUUUUAGCAGCCUUGAUCUUGUAGCCUUGAGCAUGUAGAUGCAUUUCACAGCAAGAAAAGGGAGAAGAAACCGUGAUCACAUUUGCAGUGAGAAAUUCUCAGAGGAUCAUCAAAGGACUCAAGCAGCUGGUGUGACAUUCACCUCUGCUCAGGAGGCCACAGCGGAGCGGGCACUCCCAUUAUCGCGAUGGGCUGCACCCACCAGUUAUCUCGAGUCUACACCUUGCACCCCCAGGUGUUCCUUCAUCCAUCAUUGGCCGUUGUCUGGUAUCCACUCCCCCUUCCCCCACCACCUCCUGCCCGAUGACUCCUCGUUAAUAAGCCAGUUUGUUCACAUCCUGAAAACUAUCUGAUUCUGGCCCCUUUUAUCCCAAACACCAUCCAUCCAUCAGCUGCUUGCUCCACACGCUUGGUUAGGAAAAUGGGAAUGGGGGAGGGAGACAAAUCAUAGAUAAAACUUCUUAGCUGCUAUCUGUAAAGAAAUAGAAUGGAUACAUAGAUCUGUCAGGGAUGUAUCAUGCCACAGGACAGCAAAAUCUAUUUGUUAAAAACAGGUUAGGAUGGGAGGAUUUAUCUCACAUUUUAAACUGUUACUAUAGAAGGGAAACAUAUUUUCCUUUAUCUCUCCCAGGGGGUUGGGGGAAAUCCCAAGGCCAUGAAUAAGGAAUUUUAACUUGAUUUGAUGGACUUCUCUUCACUGGGGAGGCACUGGUAGACUCUCUAUUGACUUUGUAUAGAAACUGGGCUCUGCUGUCCUCCGAUGCACUAAUAAGUUUGCAGGAUCCAAGAAUCCCGGUGAGUGGCUUUCCAGAAUGUUCUCUCUUACAAGUUCCUGCAUGCAAG